AUGGUCAACGGCAGACUGCGAGGAGAUUCGUACGGUAGGUACACUUAUAGCUCAGUGCUGGGUAACAGUACAGUAGUUUAUUUCAUCACCGACCUAAAUCCAAACUCUCUCAGAGCGUUCACAGUCAGCCACCUAACCCCACUGUCAGACCACAGUAAAAUCACCAUCUAUCUAAACAGAUCAAAACCCAACUCAGAUAUGGGUAACAGUACAGUACAUUAUUUCAUCACCGACCUAAAUCCAAAUUCUCUCAGAGCGUUCACAGUCAGCCAACUAACCCCACUGUCAGACCACAGUAAAAUCACCCUCUAUCUAAAUGGAUCAAAACCUAACUCACAUGCAUCAAAACAAACCCACCUCCACACCCUCAAACACACAUACAGAUGGAAACAAAAUAGUGAAGAUACAUAUCAAACCGUAAUUUGUGAACCAAAAAUACAAAACCUAUUAAAUCAUUUCCUAGCUGCCCCAUUCCUACACAACACUGAAGGGGUCAAUUUAGCAGUAGACAGGAUGCACCAAAUAUUUGCAAUGACUGCAACAUUAUCUAACCUAAAAAACACAAACAAAAAAAUAAACAGGGAGCAUGGACAUGAGAAAUGGUUUGACAACGAGUGCAAAAACCUUAGAAAAGAAGUAAGAACUUUAUCAAAUCAGAAACACAGAGAUGCUGACAAUGUAAACACAGGCCAACUCUACCACGAGAAACUUAAACAAUAUAAGAACAUCCUAAGAACGAAAAAGAAACAAAAUAUACAAAAUCAGCUAAAAGUAAUAGAACAAUCUCUAGAAUCAAACCGUUUCUGGGAACAUUGGAACACACUAAACCAAUCUUACCAUGAAGAGUUACCUAUCCAGAAUGGAGAUGUGUGGAUAAACCACUUCUCUAACCUCUUCAGCAAUAUAAACAAAAACCACGAACAAAACUCACUAUACAAUAGAGUAUGUGUUCUAGAGUCAACCAUUAAAGAGUACCAGAACACCCUAGAUUAUCCCGUUACACUAGCUGAACUGUGCGAUAAUAUACAAAAACUAAAAUCCCAAAAAGCAUGUGGUAUCGAUGGCAUUCUGAAUGAAAUUAUUAAAUGCACAGACCAAAAAUUCAAACUGGCCAUUCUUAAACAGUUUAAUAUCAUCCUUAGUGCAGGUGUAUUUCCCAGCACCUGGAACCAAGGCCUCAUCACCCCAAUUCAUAAAAGCGGAGACAAAUUCGACCCUGAUAACUAUCGCGGAAUAUGUAUAAACAGCAACUUAGGUAAACUCUUCUGUAACAUCCUAAACAGCAGACUCCAUUAUCUUACUGACAGAAAUGUCCUGAGUAAAUGUCAAAUCGGCUUCCAACCAAAAUUCCGCACAUCAGACCAUAUAUACACUCUACAUACCCUUAUUGAUAAAAAAAAAAACAAACAAAAUAAAAGAAAAAUUUUUCAUGCUUUGUUGACUUCAAAAAAGCGUUUGACUACAUCUGGCAUGAGGGGCUUUUAUUUAAAUUAA
ensembl:lncRNA